rnacentral:rRNA from 1 species
UCGGGAAUUUUGGACAAUGGGCGAAAGCCUGAUCCAGCGACGCCGCGUGCAGGACGAAGUCCUUCGGGAUGUAAACUGCUGUCGGGCGGGACGAAAUCCUACAGGUGAAUAAUCUGUAGGGAUGACGGUACCGCCGGAGGAAGCACCGGCUAACUCUGUGCCAGCAGCCGCGGUAAGACAGAGGGUGCAAGCGUUGUCCGGAUUGACUGGGUGUAAAGGGCGUGUAGGUGGUUUGGUAAGUCCGAAGUGAAAACAUCAUCGCUUAACGAGAUGUCCGCAUCGGAAACUGUCAGACUUGAGUGCAGAAGAGGUUAACGGAAUUCCUGGUGUAGCGGUGGAAUGUGUAGAUAUCAGGAGGAACACCCGUGGCGAAAGCGGUUAACUGGUCUGUUACUGACGCUGAGGCGCGAAAGCUAGGGGAGCAAACCGG